rnacentral:snRNA from 1 species
CCCUAGCCCCGAUAGCAGUGAAAAUCCUUUUCUUUUUUAAAGAAAAAAAAAGAAAAGAUUACUUCACUUAAUUUUC